rnacentral:lncRNA from 1 species
ACAAGUGCCACUAGAGCAAGCACUUGACGAGGUGGUCGUGGAUCGUCAUGCCCAACGCUGCCGAACAGAUGACGUUAUCACAGCGCUGCAGAAGUGAUGGAAGUCCCUGGGGAAUAAAUUUCGGCGCCUGGGAAGACGUUUCAGAAAGAAAAGAGCCGCGCCGGGCCAGUCGACGUUCACGACGACGUCAUCUAGCUGUUUUUCGACCAGAUGAUGUUUCUGCGCUACACAAUGAAGUGUAGACCGAUGUCCGCCAACCUUCCACCAGUGCCCCCAUCGAGUGAGGAGGGAAGUGCUGCAGACAUCUUAACAAAAAAUGUGCCAGUUUUCCGAUCUGGCAAUACUUGAAGUGCCAUCACCGUCAAGUGAAGAGUCACAAGCGCCAGCAUCGACUCUGUCUUCGGCUUCGCAUGAGUCUGUGGAGUCUCAGGACAUUUCGAAUCUCUUGAAUCACCGAUGUUUCAAGAAGUUCUGGUUCCUGAGGAUUCUGAGGCACACCACAGCAGUCCGCAGUCAGAAGCAUCGCUGGCUUCAGCAGCCAGUCGUA